UUGUACUGUUCUCGAGCUCUCCCCUUGAUCACUGUUCUUCUGUCUUGAUCUAGAUGAUAAGCACUGCAUAGAUAGAAUUUGUCAUCUUUGCUAUAAUUCCAUAUUAUCUUGUGUGCCGCACCUCUGUUACUAAUUGGUAAACUGCAUAUCAGGACCAGCUCUUCCAAUGGAUGCCAUGCUUAUCUAAGUGAUUCCCCCACCAGAAAUUUGGCAACAUUACUGAUAUCUCAUGACACAAUUUCUUUGGGAGUUUGGAAACAGACAUAGUGUAAGUAGGAAUGGCUUGAAGCACAGUCUUGAUCAAUACCUCUUUUCCUGCCUUGGACAAGUAACUGUUCUUCCAACAAUUUAUCUUCCUCCAUAUGCGAUCUUUUAUGCACCUGAAGCUGUUAUACUUGGAUUUUCCAAAUAUUGAUGGGUUAUUGCUCGAUGUAACGACGGCAUUAGCAGUAGCGAGAUUGUGCGGGAUCAACAAUUGAAGCCCAAUUUUGGACUUUGGAGCAUUUCCAAUGAAUGCUGGAAAAUAUAGUUUUCUUUAAAAUAUGAAGAAUGUUGAUCAAAAUAAAGAUUCAAUGUAUGUUGUAAAUCAUUUUUAUUUUUCAUGUAGCUACAACAAUCCCACUAUAUCUAGAGACUAUUGUUCAUACAUGUAAAAUAUUUUUAAUUAUUUUUCUCCUCUCUGAAUUCUUUUUUUCCCUUUAUUCUAAUUUCGUUUCAGCCCUUGUGUGGCAUUGGCC